rnacentral:tRNA from 1 species
GCCUAGGUAACUCAGUUGGUUAGAGUGUUGUCCUAUAUGCCAAAGUUGCAGGUUCAAUCUCUGUUCAGGGCA